CUACGGGAGGCAGCAGUGGGGAAUAUUGGACAAUGGGGGCAACCCUGAUCCAGCCAUGCCGCGUGUGUGAAGAAGGCCCUCGGGUUGUAAAGCACUUUCAGUGAGGAAGAACGCCUGGUGGUUAAUACCCAUCAGGAAAGACAUCACUCACAGAAGAAGCACCGGCUAACUCCGUGCCAGCAGCCGCGGUAAUACGGAGGGUGCGAGCGUUAAUCGGAAUUACUGGGCGUAAAGCGCGCGUAGGUGGCUUGAUAAGCCGGUUGUGAAAGCCCCGGGCUCAACCUGGGAACGGCAUCCGGAACUGUCAAGCUAGAGUGCAGGAGAGGAAGGUAGAAUUCCCGGUGUAGCGGUGAAAUGCGUAGAGAUCGGGAGGAAUACCAGUGGCGAAGGCGGCCUUCUGGACUGACACUGACACUGAGGUGCGAAAGCGUGGGUAGCAAACAGGAUUAGAUACCCGAGUAGUC
rnacentral:rRNA from 1 species